UCCAGAGCGACAACCCGCUAACGCGAGAAAAUGUCACGUCACUGUCAUAAAAUAAGAGUUACGACGACAUAUUUUGUACAAAAAAUUGUUGUAUUUUUGCAACGUGGUCGUGACGUGGACAAUAGAAUUAUAUGUCAUGACGUGGCAGUGGUUAUAGAGCGUAGUAGGGACCAGUCAAGGAGUGCAAACCCCCCGGAAACCGAGACAAAGUCCGCCCCGGCAAGUCGCGUAGACCCGUAGAUCGCGCAUUGGGGGCGGUAAAUCGUUCCAGCACCGGGAGGCCGCAAACCUGAACGAUCCACGAAAGGCAGCAGUUCUGUGCGCCGG